rnacentral:rRNA from 1 species
UGGUCUUCUGGGAAGCUUUCGCGGUAUGGGAUGGGGUCGCGUCCUAUCAGCUUGACGGCGGGGUAACGGCCCACCGUGGCUUCGACGGGUAGCCGGCCUGAGAGGGCGACCGGCCACAUUGGGACUGAGAUACGGCCCAGACUCCUACGGGAGGCAGCAGUGGGGAAUAUUGCACAAUGGGCGCAAGCCUGAUGCAGCGACGCCGCGUGAGGGAUGGAGGCCUUCGGGUUGUAAACCUCUUUUAUCGGGGAGCAAGCGUGAGUGAGUUUACCCGUUGAAUAAGCACCGGCUAACUACGUGCCAGCAGCCGCGGUAAUACGUAGGGUGCAAGCGUUAUCCGGAAUUAUUGGGCGUAAAGGGCUCGUAGGCGGUUCGUCGCGUCCGGUGUGAAAGUCCAUCGCUUAACGGUGGAUCCGCGCCGGGUACGGGCGGGCUUGAGUGCGGUAGGGGAGA